AGCUGGAACAAGAGCACGCGUGCUCAUCCUGUAGUUCUGUUCCCACGAAUCAGCAGUUGGAGAAAUCUUCGGCUGGAGUUAGAAUUGAGCCAAAGGGUGUGAACUUAUCUCGGUCCAUUGACAUCGAUCAGCAGUCGGAGAAGCACAAGAGUAUGUCAAGGGUGUCAGCUUCAGUGGAGAGAGAGCUUGUUCAUGAACAACCCACUGACGACGAUGCGUCUGCGCUGGCGUAUUUGGUUCGACGUCGUUGUCCAAACACGUAUCUCUUUUUUUAUGGACAUGCACUGGAGGACCGUGUUGUUCGGAUGACUUUUAUAGCUAAGCCGACCUAUUCCAGUAGGAGAAAAUACCUCAAUGACUUGCUAGAUGCUGAUCUUGUGAGCCUGAGUCGAGGUGACAGGAAAAGAUGGCAUAACAUGUGGGCUGCUGCUGAGGCAGCUGCUCAAGCUGCGAGGCUGCUGCUCAGGCUGAGCCUGCUGACCAUGCGGGCCAUGAAGACUAAACCUGAUGGCGCUGCCGGUUCUGUCUGUAGUUUAGAGCUGCAGUCGCUUAUCUACUUUCUACUAAUUCUAGAUCUUGUGAACUUAGGACAUUGUGCUUGUCAUGCCGAAUGUUUGGUGUUCUAAACUUUAGACACUGUGUUGCUGUUUUAAUUACUCAUGUAUCAAUGUUGUGAACUUAAGACAUUGUGCUAGUCACUUUAGACGUUAUGUUGCUACUUUCGAUCACUUUCUUGAUUUUUGCCACGGUGGCGGUGCCAGCGCUGAGGUCUAGGAGCCUGAGCUGGGCGGCGCUGAGGUCUAGGACUUCCUCAAGAGAUGCUGUAACCCUUCAGUUAAUAGGUAACUCAGUUACUCUAUAUUGUCUCAGUUAAUGGGGAACUCAGUUAAUCUUAUAUUUUAUAUCAGUUAAUGGAUAACUCAGUUAAUAUGCUGUAACCUUUCUGUUAAUGGAUAACUCAGUUAAUCCUCUAUAUUGUCUCAGUUAAUGGAUAACUCAGUUAAUUCCUUGUAAUGGAUCAGUUAACGGAGCGCUCAGUUAAUUUAUAAUAUAUCCUCGGUUAAUUGCUCACUCGGUUAAUACACUGUAACCCUUCAGUUAAUUCUGCACUCCCAUGUGGCUUUCGAUUACGGAAUAUUCUUAUAAAAAAUUAUAAAUAGUGCAUGUUCAAGACAGGAAUAUUUGAUUUUUUUAAUAUGGAAUAUUUCUAUAGCAAAGUGUAAAUAUUCCAUGUUCUAGUCAGGAAUAUUUGAUCUUUUACGGAAUAUUCUUAUAAAGGAGUGUAAAUAUUCCAUCUUUCAGACAGGAAUGUUUAAAGUUAUAAUAUGGAAUGUUCUUAUAACAAAUUGUAAAUAUUCCAUGUUUCAUUUCAGAAAUAUUUGACAUUUUAUUACGGAAUAUUCUUAUAACCCAUACACCCUAAAAACACUAAACCUAAAAAAACCCCUAAACCAAUACCCUGAACCCAAAACCCUUCCGAUACGCUAAGCUACGUGAGGGGCUCAACUCAUGUAGUUGGCUAUUCGGACGUGAAGGCUACAAAC
rnacentral:misc_RNA from 1 species